rnacentral:rRNA from 1 species
GAUCAUGGCUCAGGAUGAACGCUGGCGGCGUGCCUAACACAUGCAAGUCGAGCGAUUCUCUUCGGAGAAGAGCGGCGGACGGGUGAGUAACGCGUGGGUAACCUGCCCUAUACACACGGAUAACGUACCGAAAGGUACGCUAAUACGAGAUAAUAUGCUUUAGUCGCAUGGCUGAAGUAUCAAAGCUCCGGCGGUAUAGGAUGGACCCGCGUCUGAUUAGCUAGUUGGUAAGGUAAUGGCUUACCAAGGCGACGAUCAGUAGCCGACCUGAGAGGGUGAUCGGCCACAUUGGAACUGAGACACGGUCCAAACUCCUACGGGAGGCAGCAGUGGGGAAUAUUGCACAAUGGGCGAAAGCCUGAUGCCAGCAACGCCGCGUGAGCGAUGAAGGCCUUCGGGUCGUAAAGCUCUGUCCUCAAGGAAGAUAAUGACGGUACUUGAGGAGGAAGCCCCGGCUAACUACGUGCCAGCCGCGGC